ACACAUGCAAGUCGAGGGGAAACGACGUCGAAAGCUUGCUUUCGAUGGGCGUCGACCGGCGCACGGGUGAGUAACGCGUAUCCAACCUGCCCACCACUUGGGGAUAACCUUGCGAAAGUAAGACUAAUACCCAAUGAUAUCUCUAGAAGACAUCUGAAAGAGAUUAAAGAUUUAUCGGUGAUGGAUGGGGAUGCGUCUGAUUAGCUUGUUGGCGGGGUAACGGCCCACCAAGGCUACGAUCAGUAGGGGUUCUGAGAGGAAGGUCCCCCACAUUGGAACUGAGACACGGUCCAAACUCCUACGGGAGGCAGCAGUGAGGAAUAUUGGUCAAUGGACGAGAGUCUGAACCAGCCAAGUAGCGUGCAGGAUGACGGCCCUAUGGGUUGUAAACUGCUUUUAUAAGGGAAUAAAGUGAGUCUCGUGAGGCUUUUUGCAUGUACCUUAUGAAUAAGGACCGGCUAAUUCCGUGCCAGCAGCCGCGGUAAUACGGAAGGUCCGGGCGUUAUCCGGAUUUAUUGGGUUUAAAGGGAGCGUAGGCCGGAGAUUAAGCGUGUUGUGAAAUGUAGAUGCUCAACAUCUGCACUGCAGCGCGAACUGGUUUCCUUGAGUACGCACAAAGUGGGCGGAAUUCGUGGUGUAGCGGUGAAAUGCUUAGAUAUCACGAAGAACUCCGAUUGCGAAGGCAGCUCACUGGAGCGCAACUGACGCUGAAGCUCGAAAGUGCGGGUAUCGAACAGGAUUAGAUACCCUGGUAGUCCGCACGGUAAACGAUGGAUGCCCGCUGUUGGUCUGAAUAGGUCAGCGGCCAAGCGAAAGCAUUAAGCAUCCCACCUGGGGAGUACGCCGGCAACGGGGAAACUCAAAGGA
rnacentral:rRNA from 1 species